rnacentral:rRNA from 1 species
GGAUUAGAUACCCUGGUAGUCCUAGCUGUAAACGAUGGAUACUAGACGUAGGAACUGGAUUGACGGUUUCUGUGUCGCAGCUAACGCGUUAAGUAUCCCGCCUGGGGAGUACGGUCGCAAGACUAAAACUCAAAGGAAUUGACGGGGGCCCGCACAAGCGGUGGAGCAUGUGGCUUAAUUCGAUGCAACGCGAAGAACCUUACCUGGGCUUGACAUCCCGAUCGUACCUUUAUGAAAGUAGAGGGUCAGCUAGGCUGGAUCGGUGACAGGUGCUGCAUGGCUGUCGUCAGCCCCGCUGU